rnacentral:rRNA from 1 species
GAUGAACGCUGGCGGCGUGCCUAAUACAUGCAAGUCGAGCGAACGGACGAGAAGCUUGCUUCUCUGAUGUUAGCGGCGGACGGGUGAGUAACACGUGGAUAACCUACCUAUAAGACUGGGAUAACUUCGGGAAACCGGAGCUAAUACCGGAUGAUAUUUUGAACCGCAUGGUUCAAAAGUGAAAGACGGUCUUGCUGUCACUUAUAGAUUGCUCCGCGCUGCAUUAGCUAGUUGGUAAGGUAACGGCUUACCAAGGCAACGAUGCAUAGCCGACCUGAGAGGGUGAUCGCCCACACUGGAACUGAGACACGGUCCAGACUCCGACGGGAGGCAGCAGUAGGGAAUCUUCCGCAAUGGGCGAAAGCCUGACGGAGCACCGCCGCGUGAGUGAUGAAGGUCUUCGGAUCGUAAAACUCUGUUAUUAGGGAAGAACAUAUGUGUAAGUAACUGUGCACAUCUUGACGGUACCGAAUCAGAAAGCCGCGGCUAACUACGUG